rnacentral:rRNA from 1 species
ACGUGAUCUGAGUUCAGACCGGAGCAAUCCAGGUCAGUUUCUAUCUAUAAAGGGCUUUUUCUAGUACGAAAGGACCGAAAAAGCAUGGCCAAUGACCAAUUAAGCCAUAUAAAUAACUUAUGAUACCAACUCAAUUGUUUAUUAACCUCUAACUAUGCUCAAGAAAAGAGUA